UGUGUGUACUGUCUACUCUAUUCUGUGGUGCAGGCUCUCCACUAUUCUCCUAUUUUACACAUUUUCUGCAACAAGUUAAUAACAGCCACAAGCUUUCUGUAGAAAGAGGAUUGUCCUGCUGUUUAGAUGGUGAAUUGAAUUAAUUUCAGUGAAUUCAGCACAGUUUAGUAGAUCUAUAUUGUCUGCAAGAGAAUUAACCAUGUGUUUGUUUUCUUCUGUCUAACAACUCUAGGUGUGAUCCACCCCUUAACCUCUACCUUAGCCUACCAUCUUUAUAAGUAUACGCUGUCAAGUAAGUUUUGCUUUUCUGUUUUUAAUCUUGUUCUCUCAGUGAACAUGGUUUAUCAUAAAAUGUGAGUCUUUCUCUCUGUCACACACACACUCUCUAUCCCUGAUAGAAAUGCCAGGCCAGGGAUCCACGUUGAGGGAGUGUGUGGUCUUCAAUGCACAGCUUAAUGUGGCCUGCAAAACCUGCAAGAUAUGCAAAGCUGAGCAGCCACGAAAGUUGAGGCUCAAGAAUAAAAUUGAAAAUUUUGACAAGAAGCGUAAGAGCUGGGUCAAUAUCCACAUGAAAAAUAGGACCACCUCGCAUAUUUGCGAUGAAGAUUACAUAUUGCUCGAAAAAUUGCAGGCCCUUGGAGUAAGGGCUGUUUUGUUUGUCUCAAAGGCUGGGAGGAAACCUGGUUCGUGGGUUUCAGAGGUUUUGGCACCCCGUUGCCAGCUCUCAGAAACCUCCACCACAUGCCUGGAGAGGAUGAAGAGCCUGUAUGACAUUGUUAUUCAAGCUAUGCCGCCCUCAAACAGGCUGGUUACCACAAGACGCCACAGGACAACUGGGUGAACCCUCAUCUACCCAAGUUGAUCCUCUAGCUGGAACACCACUGGCUUCACCAGACUCUCCAGUACCAGUGGCCCUUGAUCCCCCAGCAGCCUCAGUGGCCCCAGUGACCACACCACCACUGACCACGCCACCACUGACCACACCACCACUGACCAGGCCACCACUGACCAGGCCACCACUGACCACGCCACCACUGACUAGGCCACCACUGACCACGCCACCACUGAUCAGGCCACCACUGACCACGCCACCACUGAUCAGGCCACCACUGACCACGCCACCAGCAGCCCAAAGUGGAGUCUUGGCAGCCUCAGCAGGACCGCAUGCAGCCCUGACAGAAUCCCCAGCACACAGAACACGGAAAAGGAAAGAAUGCCCACAUACAGUGUCAGGGAGCCAAGACUUUUACCCUGUGAAGAGGGUUUCCAAAUGCAAAGUUAUGAAGGUUAAUUAUAAUCCCACUCAAACACAGUCCCUGUCACAGGAAUUCAGCCCCAUCUGUAAUCAAGAAAUUCAAAAUUAUAAACUUUGUGUCAGUGAAAAUAGUUUCAAUAGUUCAAGUGUUCCCUUUUGGUAACAGGACAUACAAGGCCCUUUUGGACUGUAAGAACUCAACUGUUACAAUACAAAUUUGGCGAUGACACAAUUCCAGGUAAAGCUCCUGGAAUUAAUUUUAAGUUGUUUUUAAACUGUGGGAGCAAAACUUAACAAAUUUAAGUCUAAGAUUCUUAAUGUGAUACUUCCAGCUCUGCAUGGUUAUUUUUUCAUCCAUUGGAAAAGUCUCUGAAUUUCAUGUUUUCUGGAAGGUCUCAUGUUAGAGAAUGUUACAGUCAAAAAGGGCUGAUAUUUUUGGUUAUUGCUGUAUGGCAAAGAUUUGAAACUAAGAAAAGUCUCUCUAUUUUUAAGGGCCAAAAAAUGAAGCUUGUGGAGUGGGAACCAUGCAAACUCUGUGGAAAGAAGUGGCCAUUGGAGUGGGUGCCGGAUAAGGACACCUGUUAGUGCUCCAGUUUCACAAGGUUCCCAGUGCCGAAGGUGUAGAAGCACUGUUACAUGUCAGAUUUGUGAUUUUUUUUAUUUGUUUGUUAUUCCUUCUUAAUGUUAUAAACAUAAACAAGACUGCCUGUUGGACCUGGAACUCUCCACAGCUGCUUGUGGCUGUAUUUCAUUUUAAACUUUGUAUUGUUUAUUACUACUGUUGUGUUUUGUUGCACACCAAUUGUUGUCACUUGAAGAUAUGCAUUUUCACUGACACUACUAUCUUCAAUAUUACUGCUGUUGUGUUUUGUUGCACACCAAUUUUUGUCACUUGAAGAUAUACGAAUGUUAAUUGACACUACUAUCUUCAUUAAAAAAAAUACCAAAUGAACUACUUUCUUCUUUAAUGUCUUACUAUAUUUAUUGUAUUUCUUUCUCUACUUCAUUAUAUUUACACCCAAGACAACAUACAGUUUAUCUGAGAAUUUGGUUCAAUGCAUUAAUACAAAAACAUGUCAUUUUUAAAGAGUUGCAUUAUUACCUUGUCUCUCUAUAUAGAAACCAUACUGGCUCUCCUGUGAUAGGUGACUCGCACUAAUUACAUAUUAAC